rnacentral:rRNA from 1 species
GCCCCAAAUACAUGGAAUGCGCUCGAACUCAUCAGAUCUCAGAAGCUAAGCAGGUUUAAGCCUGGAUUGUGCUUGGAUGGGCAACCACCAAGCAUAAUUGCUUGUUGUAGGCU